CAGUCGCCGCGGGAAUACGUAGGUGGCAAGCGUUGUCCGGAAUUAUUGGGCGUAAAGGGCUCGCAGGCGGUUUCUUAAGUCUGAUGUGAAAGCCCCCGGCUCAACCGGGGAGGGUCAUUGGAGACUGGGAAACUUGAGUGCAGAAGAGGAGAGUGGAAUUCCACGUGUAGCGGUGAAAUGCGUAGAGAUGUGGAGGAACACCAGUGGCGAAGGCGACUCUCUGGUCCGUAACUGACGCUGAGGAGCGAAAGCGUGGGGAGCGAGCAGGAUUAGAUACCCCAGUAGUCCCUGUCUCUUAUAC
rnacentral:rRNA from 1 species